rnacentral:rRNA from 1 species
AGUGAACGCUGGCGGUAGGCCUAACACAUGCAAGUCGAACGGCAGCACAGUAAGAGCUUGCUCUUACGGGUGGCGAGUGGCGGACGGGUGAGGAAUACAUCGGAAUCUACUUUUUCGUGGGGGAUAACGUGGGGAAACUUACGCUAAUACCGCAUACGACCUACGGGUGAAAGCAGGGGAUCUUCGGACCUUGCGCGAUUGAAUGAGCCGAUGUCGGAUUAGCUAGUUGGCGGGGUAAAGGCCCACCAAGGCGACGAUCCGUAGCUGGUCUGAGAGGAUGAUCAGCCACACUGGAACUGAGACACGGUCCAGACUCCUACGGGAGGCAGCAGUGGGGAAUAUUGGGCAAUGGGCGCAAGCCUGAUCCAGCCAUACCGCGUGAGUGAAGAAGGCCUUCGGGUUGUAAAGCCCUGUUGUUGGGAAAGAAAAGCAGCAGGUUAAUACCCCGCUGUUCUGACGGUACCCAAAGAAUAAGCACCGGCUAACUUCGUG